rnacentral:rRNA from 1 species
UACGUAGGGGGCAAGCGUUGUCCGGAUUUACUGGGCGUAAAGAGCGUGUAGGCGGCCAAGCAGGUCCGUUGUGAAAACUGGAGGCUCAACCUCCAGACGUCGACAGAAACCGCUUGGCUAGAGUCCGGAAGAGGAGAGUGGAAUUCCUGGUGUAGCGGUGAAAUGCGCAGAUAUCAGGAAGAACACCAAUGGCGAAGGCAGCUCUCUGGGACGGUACUGACGCUGAGACGCGAAAGCGUGGGGAGCGAACAGG